rnacentral:tRNA from 1 species
AGGCGUGUAGCUCAACGGGUAGAGCGCCGGUCUCAUAAGCCGGAACGCGGUGGUUCGAGCCCACCCAUGCCAAC